GCUUACGGCCAUACCACCCUGAGAACGCCCGAUCUCGUCCGAUCUCGGAAGCUAAGCAGGGUCGGGCCUGGUUAGUACUUGGAUGGGAGACCGCCUGGGAAUACCAGCUGCUGUAAGCU
ensembl:rRNA 5S_rRNA 5S ribosomal RNA